rnacentral:rRNA from 1 species
AUUGAACGCUGGCGGCAGGCCUAACACAUGCAAGUCGAGCGAGCGGGGGACGGGUGAGUAAUGUAUGGGGCUCUGCGCGAGAGAGGAGGAUAACUACUGGAAACGGAGGCUAAUACCGCACACUAUCGGAUGAACCCGUAUGGGUUGAGCUAGGGGGUGGGGUAAAGGCUCACCUAGGCGACGAUCUGUAGCUGGUCUGAGAGGAUGAUCAGCCACACUGGGACUGAGACACGGCCCAGACUCCUACGGGAGGCAGCAGUGGGGAAUAUUGGACAAUGGGCGCAAGCCUGAUGCAGCCAUGCCGCGUGUAUGAAGAAGGCCUUCGGGUUGUAAAGCACUUUCAGUUGGGAGGCGUUACCAGCAGAAUAAGCACCGGCUAACUCCGUGCCAGCCGCCGCGGUAAUAC